ACGACGCCGUCUCGUUUGGUGAUUUUAAAAAAAGUAAAUGGGACGACGUCGUUUGAGCUUUUAGCCCGUUACCUCUUCACCUCGUUUUCCUAUUUCCAGAACAAAUUAGAGCACAUAACAGCGCCCUAUACGCCUCCCCUCCUCCCAACCCAAACACUCAAAGGCGUUUGAUGAUUUGCUUUCGAACAAUGGAACUAGGAGUGGGCCAUUGGCAGAGUUUGAUUGUCUUCCUCCACCUAUCUCUAGGUGUUUGAUAGUCUUCCUCCAUCUGCCUCUCGUAUUGCUUUUUGCUUGUCUUUAUACACUCCAUGUGUUUGUUUUAAUGCCUCAAAGAAUUAUCUGACGAAUUAGUCCCCAGGGGCAAUGUGAAUGAAAAUGAGAAUGAUAUGGCGGUAAUUCUGAGUAUACCAUUGUUGAUGUUGAGGUGGCGAACGAGGAAAGUGAGGGUAAUAGAGAUGAAGGGGAGGUAGCAAAAUGUUCAGUACAAAGGUAUUAAACUUGGUCUAAGGGAUUUCGUUUUCUACGGUGUUCUUGUGCGCAGAGCUGCAAUGCAUGACAUUAUGACUAUGUAUGCCUAUUAUCUUGCCAUUAUUUUGGGACUCAUAGUGCACUCUUAUUUUGUGGUCAGUGUACCAUCGAGCUUUGCCAAUAUCUAUCAUCUUGGGUGUCAUUUUUUACUUCUUUACUCGGUUAUUACUGGAGCCUUAUGUUAUUGGGACAUCUACAACUUGUUGAUAUUUUGAUAGUCCAUUUGUUUUUGGUAAGAGAGAGGUUAUAUUUAAGAGGAAGCUGAUGUCCUAGCUAUUUUUUGUUGCUACUGAAUUCUCUAUCAAAUGGGUUUCCAAAUUAGAAGUUCA